UGACAAAAAAUAGAAAUCAGUAAAAGCUAAACAUGUAUUAUGUUCAUUAGAAAGUUAGAACUUUUUUCAACCAUUUUUUAUAGUCGGGGUGUUGUUCGUUUAUAUUUUUCCCAAUUUGCUGAGGUAAUUUUAUGAUUGUAACUAAGUGGUUCACGUUCUCUUUGUUUCUCUUAAUUGUAUUUAUUACGAUAAUAAGUAUCUAAUUUUGAUUAUUGACACGACGGUUGUAAUGGAUUAAAUUGGUAACGUCCGGACUGUCUCUAUCAGUGGAUCCCAUCUUCUCUCUCGGGCCCACGGAUCCAUCUUUGUCUGACACUCGGUCCGCUACGUCCGAGAGACUAUCUUUUUCGUGUUUUGUUCUCACUCACACGGUUUCGACAAUUAUUUCCGGAAAGGUCACUCAUCCUGAAAUUGCUCGAGCCCAAACAUGCUAAACUAUGAAUUUCUCUCAAGACAUUUGACCAAAACAAAUGUGCAUUUUGGUAACAUAUAUGACCAAAUCAAUUCUUUUAAAAAUUUUCGCAUGCACCACCAUAUUCCUGAAACUGGGAUAUUACUGGAUCACUUGGCACGAAUAUUCAUACCCAACCUCAUAUUAUCACAUCUGCAAACAAAAUUCCUCAGCAUUGACUUAUUAGAGUCAAUCUAAUAGAGUUGUUGAUUAAAAAACUUAAAAUAAAGUUAGCAAAUUUUAAUAUAAAAAAAUUUAUACUAUUGAAAGUUAUAGUUCCUGGAUUUAUUUUUGUUUUUAAUAUGGGACCUUGUAAAUGUUUU
rnacentral:sRNA from 1 species